UACGAAGGGGGCUAGCGUUGUUCGGAAUUACUGGGCGUAAAGCGUGUGUAGGCGGACCUUUAAGUAGAAAGUGAAAGGUGGGAGCUCAACUCCUACAUUGCUCUCUAUACUGGAGGUCUUGAGUGUCGGAGAGGAAGAUGGAACUGCACGUGUAGCGGUGAAAUUGCGUUGAGAUGUGCAGGAACACCAAUGGCGAAGGCAAUCUUCUGGACGAAA
rnacentral:rRNA from 1 species